rnacentral:rRNA from 1 species
AUUGAACGCUGGCGGCAGGCCUAACACAUGCAAGUCGAACGAGUGGCGGACGGGUGAGUAAUGUCUGGGAAACUGCCCGAUGGAGGGGGAUAACUACUGGAAACGGUAGCUAAUACCGCGUACCAUCGGAUGUGCCCAGAUGGGAUUAGCUUGUAGGUGGGGUAACGGCUCACCUAGGCGACGAUCCCUAGCUGGUCUGAGAGGAUGACCAGACACAGUGGAACUGAGACACGGCGCAGACUCUGACGGGGGGCAGCAGUGGGGAAGAUGUGACAAGGGGUGAAAGACUGAGGCAGCGAGGCCGGGUGGAAGAAGAAGGCUUUCGGGUUUUAAAGUACUUUCAGCGGGGAGGCGUUACUCGCAGAAGAAGCACCGGCGAACUCCGUGCCAGCCGCCGCUGUAAUAC